rnacentral:sRNA from 1 species
AUCAGAUUCAACUAGGAGAAAAUCCCACCUCCAGGCUCCAUUAAUCAUUCCAAUGGAGUGGAAGUUUCUCUCACAGCGAAACUAGUUAGGGGAUCCAAUGGAAAAAGAACGUUCACACGGACUAGAAGACGAAGCCAAUGGAAUGGAAAAUUGUCUUCGCGUUGAUAGAAGCAGCCAAUGAGAUGAAAAGAGCCCGCCUCCAAAGUGGCAGAGGCAAUGGGGUGAAUCGUGCCCAGAGGCGCGCUCCAAUGGGGUAGCAGGGCUCGCCCGACCGCCACUACCCCCCUUCCCCGCGCCCGGAGUCCCCACCGACGGCCGGCCGCGGAGCGGAGUGCUGACCGGGGUGAGAGGUUCCCGCGGCUUAGGGAAGAUGGCGGCAGCCGUGGUGCUGGCCGCCGGGUUGCGCGCGGCGCGCAAAGCCGUGGCGGCCACGGGGGCGCGCGGGGGGCAGGUGAGAAGUGGCGCCGGAGCGAGUAGGGGGUCCUGCGGGCUCCGAAGCCAUCCCGGGCCAGGGACUCCCGAAGGCGCGCAGAGCCGCGCAGAGCUCCUGCCUGUGGCCUCUGCUCCUCCGAGGCACAAGCUCCGGGGCUGUGCGGUGAGGUCGGACUGGUGGCUCCAGAGAACGAGCUAGUGCGAUCCCCGCCCUGCGCAGGCCGGGGCGUCGAGGUCGGGACAGGGUCACUGCAGCGGCUGCCGCCUUCUUUCCACUGCCCGCAGCCCAGCUGGCCCGGUGCCCCCUGCAGGAAAUGAGCUUUCUCUUCUUGGAGCCAGUGCUUUGCCCUCCUCAGGCUUCUGGCCUCCUAAUGAGCACUAGUGUUAACCUCUCUUCUGCACUUGCCAGAAGCGGCUCGGAGGUCAGAGAAUUCAUUCCGUCCGGUUCUUCCCCAACGUGAUGCACUGACGUCAGCCUUCUCUGAAUCCCUUACCCGAAGUCCCCUGGGGCUAGGGGAGCAGAGGUCACUUAGCUGAACUCUUACCUCCAUUCAUUUAAGGGACAAGAGUUAAAAUUCACAGAGUCACAUGUCACACCCAGAUGAGGGGUCAACUAGUGUCAAACAGGGCGAUUGCAUUAAAACUUAAAUAAAACAGGCGAAAUAAAACAGGCGACAAGCCUUAAAGAUCAGAAAACAACGGAAAUAAGUGGAAAUGUACUAACAAGGUGAGAGUGGAAAGAGAUUCAAGCCAUCGCAAGAGAUUAUGGAAACCACCCCUUUAUUUUAUAUUAGAAGCUGAGAGAAGGAAUUUAUCGGAGGUAAUUCAGUGGUAUGGUAAGGUAGGAACUGAGACCAAAAUCCCCAGUCUCUCAUUCUAGAUCCUUUCCCUAAACAGUGCUAUAUUUCGUAGACACAUGAGCAGGAAUCAAUUGCACUGCUGAAUCCUGAUAAUAAUACUGCCUCUUAUCUAACCAGGUCCAGCACCUUCUGGCCUUACCCUUUGCUGCUGGUGCUCUGAAAUUCAGCAACUUUCCUCCUGGGUGGGAACCAUGAAUAGGUUAUUAGAAGGACGAAAUUAACAACUAUCAGAGCCCAACUUCUACCAGCUCCCUCCUUUGAAUAUGGUCAAUCCACCUUCAGGUCCGAGGAGCUGCAGGUGUGACUGAUGGGAAUGAAGUGGCCAAGUCCCAGCAGGCAACUCCUGGGGGAGCAGCCCCAACCAUCUUCUCCCGGAUCCUGGACAGGAGCCUCCCAGCUGACAUUCUCUAUGAGGACCAGCAGGUGGGGUGCUCUUAGGACCUAUCCCCUUAGGAAUGUUGUAGAUACCAUCCAACCUGUUGAAGUAACGUGGCCUCUGGCCUGUCACUGCCCCCAGUGUCUUGUGUUCCGUGAUGUGGCCCCUCAGGCUCCUGUGCACUUCCUGGUCAUUCCUAAGAAGCCCAUUCCUCGGAUUAGCCAGGCUGAAGAAGAAGACCAGCAGCUUCUAGGACACCUACUCCUUGUGGCCAAGAAGACAGCAAAGGCUGAGGGCCUGGGAGAUGGAUACCGACUUGUGAUCAACGAUGGGAAGCUGGGUGCACAAUCUGUGUAUCAUCUGCACAUUCAUGUACUUGGGGGCCGGCAGCUCCAGUGGCCUCCAGGUUGAACCUGCCAACUGACUAAAGGACACCAGACUCUGGAUGCUUGGAUGGAAAGGGAAAAAUGAACCCUGUGAUGCUAAUAAAACUGUUCUCCCUUAA